UGGGUAUUAGUUAAAUUUAUAAUAUUUAAUUUGCAAUUAAGAGUUAAUUUUCUAAUUAUACCUAG
rnacentral:tRNA from 1 species